rnacentral:rRNA from 1 species
CCUACGGGGGGCAGCAGUGGGGAAUAUUGCACAAUGGGCGCAAGCCUGACGCAGCCAUGCCGCGUGUGUGAAGAAGGCCUUCGGGUUGUAAAGCACUUUCAGCGGGGAGGAAGGCGUUAAGGUUAAUAACCUUGUCGAUUGACGUUACCCGCAGAAGAAGCACCGGCUAACUCCGUGCCAGCAGCCGCGGUAAUACGGAGGGUGCAAGCGUUAAUCGGAAUUACUGGGCGUAAAGCGCACGCAGGCGGUCUGUCAAGUCGGAUGUGAAAUCCCCGGGCUCAACCUGGGAACUGCAUUCGAAACUGGCAGGCUAGAGUCUUGUAGAGGGGGGUAGAAUUCCAGGUGUAGCGGUGACUGCGUAGAGAUCUGGAGGAAUACCGGUGGCGAAGGCGGCCCCCUGGACAAAGACUGACGCUCAGGCGCGAAAGCGUGGGGAGCAAACAGGAUUAGAUACCCUUGUAGUC